ensembl:lncRNA
UUCUCCUGGAGGCUGAGAAGCCCAACUCCUGAUUUAUUUUGGCACCUUUGCUAUUGACCCCAGCUGCAAUCAGAGCUGUGGAAACAUUAGAAGAAACUGAACCACACUUCAUCAAAACUCAAACCCCAAAUCUUUGUUAUUUGGGUAAGUAUUCAAGUCAGCUUUAUUUCACUUAAAUGCUGAUCAGAAUAAGCAGAUGUGUAGAGUAAAAAUACACACACCCUGAACAUGCAGAUACCAAGGGAAUGUGAAGAUGAGGCUCUAACCACCACACACCCUCUCAGUCUUCUGUUUUUUGGGUUUUGUUUGUUUGUUUUGUUUUCCCCUCUUACCCUUCUGAUUUCAGGCUGGGAGAGAAGUACAGUGCUGAAACAGUGAAUACCUUAAGUACAGCCUUGGCAUGGCAGCAUAAUUUUUAGGAACACUGCUGCUCACAUGCUUUUGAUUCCCAUCUCCAGGUUCAGAUAAGCCUCUGAGUUUGAUGCCAAUCCAAACUGAACCAGAAUCCCAGGCCUCCAGGUCUAACUCCAGUUCAGCAUGUUGUAACGCAGUGCUUAUCAGCUUAUUCAUAAGUGCUGUCACCUCAGAACUGCUCUGGUGAAGCCUGGUCAAUAGCACUCAACAGAAAGUUCAAGUUAGAAGCACAGAUGGGUAUUCAGAUAAUCUCUGGAGAGGUAAAUGGCAUCAAACUGAGGAGAAAGGCACCAGCAAGCAUGGAGUACAUGUCCUUCUCCCAGCCUGUCCAAGAGAAAAACAUGAGCUCUGGCAAGCACAUCAUUAUGCCCUUACAACCAAUUCUAAAUACUUUGCUGUACUUUUGCUGCAUGCUGAGAACAGACUGCACAUGGCAGUCAGCAGCACACCAAGGGCUCCCUGUCCUCCCCAGCAGUGUGUUAGGUGUCCUCAAAGGAUGAUUGGAAUGCAUUGGUUUGGGAUACCCUCCCAAAACCAAAACAAGGAAAUUAAGAAAGGGAGCUGGGAGUCCCUGCAUGAGCAGCUCUCUAUCUAUUACAGACAAGAGUGAUGAAAGUUGGCUCCCAAAUGCCCUUAGGCCAAGGCUUACUACACAGAAAACAAUGAAUUUGCUCCCCCUCCUCUCUCAGAGGAAGCAAACAGCAAUGUCUCUCUGUCCCUGGGCUACACAGAUAAAAGGGCUGCAUCUUGUAAAGCGAACAAGCUGCCCUGAGGCCAAGACGUGCAGGAAAAAGGCUGCUCAGGUUCGGCUGAGUGCUUGCUGGGAGGACUCAUACCAAACAAGGCACAGUGCCCCAUCUCCAGCUGCAGAUGAAAGCCAAUAUUUAGAGAACAAGCAAGUUGUAUGAAGAACCACAACAGGAGACAAAAAACAGGAAGAAGCUCCAUUUUUCCAUAGGAAAAUCUUUGUCUGCACCAAGCCAGCCAGCCUCUUCAAGAUGAAUACUGUAACAGCCAUUGCUGCCACGUACUGAUGGAUAGGCUGCUUUCAGGAGCAAACUCGUCAAGAGUUGGACUUAAACAUUGCAAAUGGGCAGUGAAAGCUGCAGCUCUGACCAAGGACAGGGAGCAAGUGGAUGUAGAAGGGCAAAAAAGGCAAACUGCUUAUGGUCAAGGAUCAGAAAAAGAAGAGGUGACCAAAGGGACUAACAGUAUUUCACAACAGCAUCCGGACAUGCAUUUGCCAAAUGCACUGGUGACAAGUGAGGAAAUCUCAGGGAGAUGCGAGGAGCUGGAGCAGUGACAGAGCCAUGACAUCUAAUCCAGGGUGACAUCUGCCUCUGGCUAGAGCAGCAAGAUUGUUUUCACCACUACUGGAAAGAAGAUAGCUGUAGUCAGAAACAGAGCUGCUGAGGAAAGGGAAAGUAUGAGUGUAGGAAGAAAGCAGUCAGGAUUUCACUAUUACACACAAAAUGGAGGCAUACAUUAGACAUCACCCAGAGAAAGAGUAAAUAAAAUGCUAGACUAGAAUCUUGGUGGGUUACAGAGAGUGAUUAAGGAAGGAGGGACAGUUUGGGGAGAAAGGCCAAUGACUUUAACACUUCAUUCAGGUUGUUUAAGAGUCAUUUGGCACAGACACCCUCAUGGAGUGGGAAGAUGCAGUAGCAAAAAUUGGAGACAAUUCCCAGUAACACAGUUGGCAAUGUGUGAAAUCCAGAGGGAAGGGCCAGCACAGAGGCAGAGAACAAGCAAGACAGAUUAUUAGGGUUUAAAACGAGAGACACCUAAGAAAGUCAAAAUGAAACACGUCUGUUUAUUGAUAGCUCUUUGAGACUGAGCUAAAUUUAAAAUCAAGAACACUUGAAAUGUUCUACACAGACAUGGUUACUUGUACAGCUUUGGUUAACACCCUUCCUGGCAGCUUUCAUGUGGUAAAGGCAGUACUAGGAGAACAUAGCAGCAUUUCCUAGCCAUUCUCCAAGCAAGAACACUGCAGUGUUCUCCUCAACUGACCUCUGCUAGGUUAGUCUGCAGAUUUCCGCCCAGUGGGUCUCCAUUCCCCAUUCCCAAAAUUGGAGACCUCAGAAGGCUACCCAGUUACUGGGCAGUGUAAGUCAGCAGUUGCCAGCACCACCCAGCCACCACCCAAAUCAGCACAGCAUGCAAAGCACGGAGAGCAUCUCAGAGCUCCCUUUGCAUCACCCGGGUCUGAAAAGGAUGCUCUUCCCGAAGAAUCCCAGGUGUGUCAUUACAGAGGGUCAGGACUGACUCCUUAGAGAGUCACAGGUUUCAUGCUGUCACUCAUAUUAAUGAUGCAAUGCUUUAUUAAUUGGAGUUUUCCUGAACAGCAUGUGUAGUAUCAGUGACACUCAUAAUUAAAUAGGCAAGCAGCAUUUUUUUUUUUUAAAUGAGCAGAGAGUUAAUUGAAUUCUGGAGUCCCUGUGAUCAGCUGUGAAAUUUAUACCUGCAAUUUGUGCAGGCAGCAAGAACUAGAGCCUUUGGGGCCUUGUUAUUCAUCAAAAAUAGGCUGAUUUAUUUGUGCCAAGUAUCUCUGUAGGAGGCUCUUGGGCCCGAUGUACAGUCACUUUCCUCCAAUUAACCUCCCUGGCCUAGAGGGAAAAGAGAAUUAGACAUCUGUUAAAAGCACGAACCUAGUCUUGAGAAAGUAGGCACAUUUUAGUGAAGCCAACUCUCAUCUGAGUUAACCUCUGGCCACCAGUAGUUGAGGAGUUCCCAGCAUGAAAUAUGUCAAGAACAGCUGAGACAAACUACAGAGCUGAAGUUAAUCACAGACAACAGGAGGUGGAAUGGACCUGGCUUGAGAUGGUUUGACCCGCCUUCACACUCAUUUUUACUGUGAACAUCUCUAACUCUGCUUUAAGUUUUCUACUGUUGUUAAUAUCUUGGCAACUACUACCCCUCCAGACAUUUGAUUUUCCUUUCUCUUGGCUCACCCUAAGUCCUCUACAGCCAUACAACUACUUUCCAAGACUGAAUUAGUUACUUAUCACCAAGUAAUUUCUCUCCUUCCAUUUUCCCAUCUUGUCUGUGCAAAAUUCAAUUCCCAGAAGACAGUGUUCUGGUCAGCUCUUUUCAUGCCACCUUUCUUCCAAUUAUUGCUAGAUCUGGGUAAAUCUCUGUAAAAGAUCUGGAACUGUUUCACCUUUUCUGUCUUGCUCAGGUUGGGGCUCAGCACAAGGCUGCUGAGCACAUUGGAAGCAGGCAUUUCUCAGUCUAGUCUCUGCAAAGAACAAUUUGUAUGUGCAUCCAGGAAGCUUUCCAGCCAUGCACUCCUUUGCAUCACCAUCUCAAGACACACCAGACAGCAUCUGAGCAGAGGUUUGAUUUGGAGCUAAGUGCCUCCAAACUGCCCAAGGCCUUUGUUAACCUUCUCUUAGAAUGAAAUAUUAUUAUAGGGCAAUGGUAGAGCCAGAAACCAAUGAUAUCUUUGCUCAACUGAGUUUCCAGUGCUGGGCUAGCUCUGCCAACAAUAUGACAUCAUUCUUCAGCACUGAAGCUCUGCACCAGCACGCAUUAGCUAAUCCCCUGCAAGUGCGUGGGAUAUAGAUUUCAGUUCUGCAGUUGGGCUUUUGUAAAACUUUUGAUCAAAAAUGGCUCCAAACAAAGACAGAACUUCCACAUGGACGUUCUGGAGAACCCACAAUAUAACUAUUAUAGCAUGGGAGAAGCAUAGGCCAGGAUUUGUUUAAUAACGUUUGCUUAGACAGGAAAAAGACUGAGAUCAAAACAACACCGGCUAGUCUCAAAAUACACCAGAGUGGCGCAACCAAGUUUUUCACCUUACUCUCAUCCAGAGUAGAGUGUAGCUUAAAAAGCAUCAGCAUUUUAUCCUAUGAUGCUUAUAGCUAAUGGGCCUGAGACUUUUCCUUAAAUUUUCAGUUCUUUAAAAGCUUGGAGUUUAGUUUACAACUUAUUUUGACUGUGCUAGAUAUGAAGUCUGGUCUGCCCACCAAUCAGGAAAAGUCCAUUAUAUAAUCAAAUCCACUGGAAACUGUGGGUAACCAGCAGGACACCUACCUAGAAUAGUCCUUUUCCCCAUCCAACAUUACUGGUUGGUUUGGAAAGCAGUAUUUCUUUUUUCCCCUGAAUAAAAGACCGUAUUGACAGCUCAAUCCAUUAUUAAAAUCCAUCCUUCCUCAUGGCUAAAUGCAGCCUUUUGAAUUGAGCAGUCAAGACUUGUUAACAAUUCUUGUAAAGAUCUUUAAUGAUGCCCUACGACAUGAACAUGACAAGCACACGUAACAACUGCUUGCAAGGGAACUAGUUUCACAGGAAAAACAUUUUAAGAACACUUAGAAAACUCUUAUUUCAACUGGCAUUUCUUCAUACGAGUUCAAAGGCAAGCUCGCUACCAAGCAGCUUAGGUGUCUGCUUACAACAGAAGGCAAUAACAGCAAUUGCUCCCAGAGGAUAGCCUGGGAACCUCACAAUAAGGACAUUCAGCUCCCUAAGAAGCUCAUUCCUACACAGAAAUAUGAUGUCUACAUAGCUACUGUAGUGCGUUCUCAGUAGAUUGGAGCUCCAGUAGAUUAAGAAUAGCUCUGGUGAUACUGGAGGUCCACAGCAACCUCAUGACAAAAGUUUAUCCUAGGAGCAAUCCAAAGGACAAGCCAGGCUUUAAGGUAGGGUGCUCUCAGCAGGUACCUUCUUCAUUAGAACACACAGCAACAGCAAGGCCACUUCUGCUCAUCUAGGAAACGUCCAAGCUGGUGUAGUGCUCCCCAUACACAGACCUCAGAACGCCACAGCUUCACACAGACAUGCUGCCCACAGCAGGAGAUCACCAAACAGAAGUGUCACAACGUGUUUUCAGUAAAAAGCCUAAUGUUACUACUACUGCUUAUUGAAUAGCUUGCUGCACUUACAGGGCACACAGAACCGUAUUUUGACUACAGUUAAUUAAGCACAAUAUGUGAAUGCACUUAUCUCAGGCAAGCUCUAUCAGUAGAUGAGAUCUACUUGCACCAGAGGGCUGAAUGCCAGUUAUCAGUUGCCCUCCCAGUGCACACCAGCCAGCUGUAACAUGAUGAAAAGCACAACAACAACAGAGGACCAAGAUCUCAGGCUGCAGCAAGUGAAGAUUUGCUCAAACACAACAACUGUAGGCAAAAAAAUAAAGAAGCUACUUACCUUAAGAAGGUCUCAGGCAUACAAGAACCCCCAGCAAAAUACCCUCACCUCCACUGCCAACCCU